rnacentral:rRNA from 1 species
AUUGAACGCUGGCGGCAGGCCUAACACAUGCAAGUCGAACGAGUGGCGGACGGGUGAGUAAUGUCUGGGAAACUGCCCGAUGGAGGGGGAUAACUACUGGAAACGGUAGCUAAUACCGCAUACCAUCGGAUGUGCCCAGAUGGGAUGAGCGAGUGGGUGGGGUAAUGGCUCACCUAGGCGACGAUCCCUAGCUGGUCUGAGAGGAUGACGGGCAACACGGGAACUGGGACACGGCCCAGACUCCUCCGGGGGGCAGCAUGGGGGAUGAUUGCACAAUGGGCGCAAGCCUGAUGCAGCAAUGCCGCGUGUAUGAAGAAGGCUUUCGGGUUUUAAAGUACUUUCAGCGAGGCGGCGUUACCCGCAGAAGAAGCACCGGCUAACUCCGUGCCAGCAGCCGCGGUAAUUC